GACGAACGCUGGCGGCGUGCUUAACACAUGCAAGUCGAACGGAAAGGCACUGCUUUUGUGGGCUGCCCGAGUGGCGAACGGGUGAGUAACACGUGAGUAACCUGACCUUGACUUUGGGAUAACUUCAGGAAACGGGGGCUAAUACAGGAUCGGAUCCCCCCCUGCAUGGAGGGGGGUGGAAAGUCUAGGCGGUCGGGGAUGGACUCGCGGGUUAUCAGUUUGUUGGUGGGGGAGUGGUUUCCCAAGGCUUUGACGGGUAGCCGGCCUGAGAGGGUGAACGGCGUCAAUGCGACUGAGGGACGGACCAGAGUGGAACAGGGGGCAGUAGGCGGAAAUAUUGCCCAGUGGGACGGAGUGGGAUACGAAGGCCCCCGGGUCGGAAUGCCGGUCUGUGGGGUGUAAACAGCAGUAGCCUGAGACGAAGCGGUAGUGACGGUAAUGAGAGAAGAAGCACCGGCUAACUUCGUG
rnacentral:rRNA from 1 species